GUGGGGAAUAUUGCGCAAUGGGGGAAACCCUGACGCAGCGACGCCGUGUGAGGGAAGAAGGCUUUCGGGUCGUAAACCUCUGUCAGAAAGGAAGAACCUCCCAAGUCCGAAUAGGGCUUGGGACUGACGGUACUUUCAAAGGAAGCACCGGCUAACUCCGUGCCAGCAGCCGCGGUAAUACGGAGGGUGCAAGCGUUAAUCGGAAUCACUGGGCGUAAAGCGCGCGUAGGCCGCUUUGUAAGUCGGACGUGAAAGCCCUCGGCUCAACCGGGGGACUGCGUUCGAUACUGCGAGGCUUGAGUCCUGGAGAGGGUGGCGGAAUUCCGGGUGUAGGAGUGAAAUCCGUAGAUAUCCGGAGGAACACCGGUGGCGAAGGCGGCCACCUGGACAGGUACUGACGCUGAGGCGCGAAAGCGUGGGGAGCAAACAGGAUUAGAAACCCGAGUAGUCC
rnacentral:rRNA from 1 species